CAAUAGCGUAUAUUUAAGUUGUUGCAGUUAAAAAGCUCGUAGUUGGAUUUCGGGUGGGACGCAGCGGUCUCGCAUUGCGUUUGUACUGCUGCAGCCCUCCUUCUUGCCGGGGGCGGCCUCUCGGACUUCACUGUCUGGGGGUCAGAAUCGGCGAUGUUACUUUGAGUAAAUUAGAGUGUUCAAAGCAAGCUUACGCUCUGAAUAUAAUAGCAUGGGAUAACACGACAGGACUCUGGCCUAUCGUGUUGGUCUAUAGGACCAGAGUAAUGAUUAAGAGGAACAGUCGGGGGCAUUCGUAUUCCAUUGUCAGAGGUGAAAUUCUUAGAUUUAUGGAAGACGAACAUCUGCGAAAGCAUUUGCCAAGGAUGUUUUCAUUGA
rnacentral:rRNA from 1 species